rnacentral:rRNA from 1 species
GAUGAACGCUGGCGGCGUGCCUAAUACAUGCAAGUCGAGCGAACAGACGAGGAGCUUGCUCCUCUGACGUUAGCGGCGGACGGGUGAGUAACACGUGGAUAACCUACAUAUAAGACUGGGAUAACUUCGGGAAACCGGAGCUAAUACCGGAUAAUAUAUUGAACCGCAUGGUUCAAUAGUGAAAGACGGUUUUGCUGUCACUUAUAGAUGGAUCCGCGCCGCAUUAGCUAGUUGGUAAGGUAACGGCUUACCAAGGCAACGAUGCGUAGCCGACCUGAGAGGGUGAUCGGCCACACUGGAACUGAGACACGGUCCAGACUCCUACGGGAGGCAGCAGUAGGGAAUCUUCCGCAAAGGGCGAAAGCCUGACGGAGCAACGCCGCGUGAGUGAUGAAGGUCUUCGGAUCGUAAAACUCUGUUAUUAGGGAAGAACAAAUGUGUAAGUAACUAUGCACGUCUUGACGGUACCUAAUCAGAAAGCCACGGCUAACUACGUG